rnacentral:rRNA from 1 species
UACGAAGGGGGCUAGCGUUGCUCGGAAUCACUGGGCGUAAAGGGCGCGUAGGCGGCCGAUCAAGUCAGGGGUGAAAGCCUGUGGCUCAACCACAGAAUUGCCUUUGAUACUGUUCGGCUCGAGACCGGAAGAGGUAAGUGGAACUGCGAGUGUAGAGGUGAAAUUCGUAGAUAUUCGCAAGAACACCAGUGGCGAAGGCGGCUUACUGGUCCGGUUCUGACGCUGAGGCGCGAAAGCGUGGGGAGCAAACAGG